rnacentral:lncRNA from 1 species
UACUUAGAUCUUUUCAUUAGUCGACCUUUGCCCGGUGCGCAUCGAUGCUCGCAGUCAAGUUAAAAUAAUCUCAUAGUAAGAUGUGAUUUAAUACAACAGAAUAAUUUAUUUAACAUACUACAUAUACAUAUGUAUAUAUAGCAGCCAAAGGAGGCUUAAUUAAAAGAUAUUCAACGUUGCUACUAAAAAAUAUACAUAUGUAUGUAGCUUUCGAGUUGAAGAUAAAUAUCGGCAGAGGAGGAUUUUCUACCGUUGGAGUAAGAAUAAACUUGCUAUGGAAAUGAGAACUUUGUAAUUGUCAGCGCAACUGUAAUCCACUAAUGCAUUAACCCGCUCUUUACGGCCCAAAAUGUUGCUGCGGAGUCUCAAAUCGAACAUAUUAAUUUUUUGCUUGUAUUUUAAUUGCUAAAAAGCGAGAAUUGGUAGUGUUC